AUUGAACGCUGGCGGCAGGCUUAACACAUGCAAGUCGAGCGAGCGGCGGACGGGUGAGUAAUGUCUGGGAAACUGCCUGAUGGAGGGGGAUAACGACUGGAAACGGUAGCUAAUACCGCAUACCAUCAGAUGUGCCCAGAUGGGAUUAGCUAGUAGGUGGGGUAAUGGCUCACCUAGGCGACGAUCCCUAGCAGGUCUGAGAGGCUGACGAGCCACACUGUGACGGAGACACGGUCCAUACGCCUACGGGAGGCAGCAGUGGGGAAUAUUGCACAAUGGGCGCAAGCCUUCUGCAGCCAUGCCGCGUGUGUGAAGAAGGCCUUCGGUUUGUCAAGCACUUUCCGCGAGGAGGCGUUACUCGCAGAGGAUGCACCGGCUAACUCCGUGCCAGCCGCCGCGGUAAUAC
rnacentral:rRNA from 1 species